rnacentral:lncRNA from 1 species
UGGUCAUUGGGUAAUCACACCCUCCUGAAUGACUUGAUUAAUAAUCCAGGUGGUAAUCUUGCAUCCCACUUCCCCAGAUAUUUUAGGUUUUUCUACAGCUAUCCCUGAUGGACCCAUGAUUUUCCUCCUCUUCGUACCCUAUACACACACAAAAGACUUCCUUGAUAACACAGUGACAAAAUUAAUGGUUAUUUCUCGUAGUUGAAACAUUCAUGUGUGUCUGUGCAUGUAUACAUAUACACACACACACAAUGCACAGACAGAGAGACAGGGGAGAAUAAGUAAAAUACGCACACACACAUACACACAUCAGAAGAGUGACACAAUAUUUCGCAUUAUAUUUUUUGUAAACACCAAUUUAAAAUUAUAGAUACAAUUUUGGAACAUGUAUCUUUCGCUAAUACUUGCAAGGCAAUGUCACUGAUUAUACAUAUAUGCAGAGGUGGGCACCGUUAAUCGAAAAGUUAAUUUCGUUCAUUGUUAAUCCGUUAACCAAAAAGUUAAUUCUUUGAAAAUGUAACAGAAGCUAAUGUUAAUCCAUUAAUGUUAACUUUUAUUGAAAAAAGGCAUAACUACAGUAUAAUACCCCACCGACUUUGUUGCCUCAUAACUUCCAGGAAAACAGAUACUUUUUAACAAAACUUUCAUCAAAUAAUAGCUUAUAUUCUGUAGACUGAGUGUAUGUGAAGAUUUGUUGGGAAAAAUUUUCCGAGGGGUUGGGGAGAGGAGUUUCAGAAAAUUCACAGACCCCACAUUUUCCCACCUCAUAACUUUCUGGAAAAUAGGUAUUUUUUAACGAAAUUUUAUACAAAUACCUUUCAAACAGUGUAGAUUACAAUUACAAAGAAAUUUUUAGGCAAAAUUUUUGGAAAGGGAUGGGGGCAAAGAGUUUCUGGGAAAUGAAGUUUCAGAUCAGAUGGCCCACAUAAGUUGGAAUUUCUAUUUUUCUCAAUGUUUUUCACCAAAGUCUUCUGAAUGAUGAAAGGAAUCUUUUCACAAAAAAAAAGAAAAAUAUUCUGAAAAUUUUUUCAUUUCUGCCACCCCCUCACCACCCUAGUCCGAAACGAUUUUGGCCAUUUUUUGUUUUUACACUACACACUUAAAACCCAUGAGAGAAACAUUUUCAGCUUAAAAAACAAAUUGUUAAUAAUUUCAGAGGAAAAUGUGUGAUUUAAGGGAAAUCAGGCUGUUGUUUCUAGCACAUUCCCCAAACCUUCCUCCUCAUUUCUUUCUCACUCACACAUCUAUUGAUAUUUUUCAAUAUUUUUCUCCCCAUAAACAAAUUUUAUGGAAUGAUGAUGUCAAAGUAACACACAUGUAGUCCCAACCAAGCGAGGCCAUGUUAUGUGUGUGUGUAAGAAAAAAAAGCACCUAAAAAUGAUGCAUUCAAUAUUAAAUAUACUAAAACAAUCUGAAAACAAUAGAAACCUUUAAACGUUUACCAGUUUUUAUGAAAUUUUGGGGUUAAUGGACUUGAGUUAACAGGAGCUAAAUGUAAUGGAAGUUAAUUAGUCUGAUAAUGAUUUUCAAAGUUAACUUAAAAAUGUCAACUUCAUUAAUUAACGAUUAACAGAUUUAACUUAUAAAUGUUAACUUCGUUAAUUAACAAUUAACAGAUUAAUGGAUUUACACCCAGCUCUGCAUAUAUGUGUGUGUGUAUGCAUGCCUAUGUUUAGCUGGGUGUAUUUGUGUUUACAUACAGACACACACACACAUAUACUAUAUACACAUAUAUAUACAUACCAUACAUACCACUUAAUAAGAGUUUAACAGCUUGUUGUCCAGGUCUGUGCCAGCUAUAUCAUUACCAAAAACGAGACAGAUUGUGUUUUAUUAUAACACCAAGAGUGCAAAAGAAAUAAUUAAAGGCAUAACUAUGUACCACAAAAUAAAAAGAAAAAUGAAAAAUUACCAUCUAAUGUAAACUGGUAGCUAAAACCAAGUGAUAUUAAUGACAUUUUGUAUGAAGUAAAGAAUUUAAGUCCUUAUUGAGCAGCAGGGAUAUGAAGAGCAAUUAUAGAAGCUAAUGAUAAAUCAUUUCUCUUGAAUUGUCCCAGGAGUGCAAUAACAGAAUGUAUGAGACACUGAAGAAAAUACUCUUGAGGAAGGCAAGCUACAUUUUUCUUGGCCUCAACUUCAUAACAAGCUGAAAAUAGACACUAAUAACACUUUCAUGGUUGAUUAGCUAGUGUUUAGAAGAAUUGUUCAGUUGUGAAAGAUGUCCUUCUAUAAUUUAUAGAACUGCUUAAAUUUGUUGCAGCAUGGGUCAGUUUUUGCUAGCUAAAGCAAGACAGAUGCAAAAUAUUGGGUAAACAGAAUAAUUAACAGUGUCAUAUGGGAUUUGGAAAUCAAAAAUGGUUGAUAAGGUGCCAGCUUGAUAAAUGUGGGUAGUUUUUGUGACAUUAUGGUGGUAUGCACUAUUGAGGAUUUAACAUUUUUAUUUAAUUCUUCAAGCUGUACGCAUAAAAGAAAUUGAAUUAACUUCAUUUUUGUAUUUGGGAUGCAAGAUUUUGAUGUAAAUUCAUGUGCUGAAACAAAUCUCAAGGAAAACCUUAAUGAGAGAGGGCAUCUCAUAGAAGAGACCAUGAAUAACAAUGAAAGGACUGACAAACCAACAACCAAUUGAUUGUUUAUUCAAAACAUUAAACAAAUGAUCGAUUAGUUAGUUGAUUAGAUAUUUAACCAAUUGACUAUCUAUAAGGAAGUGAUAUUGAAGCAGUGUGUGUUUUUAUUGUUACCAGUAUCAUGACUCUCCAAAGACACAGCAAAAAUUGAACUAGGUUCUUGUCAAUGUUACAACACUGCCUCUUGAGCUAAUAUGAUAAGCCUGUAUGUAGCUGCUAAGCUAGCUGGAUAUAGCAAUUAAAUAUCACUCAAAUUACUCUCUAUCUUUAAAAAAGGGAAAAGACACAUUGGAUAAUUUAGUCCUAGAUAAACAAUGUCUGAAAUAAAAGUUGGAAUAGUCAUGGCUAUAGUACCUUUCAUAGGUUUGCUCGAUCAGGUCUGCUUAGAGCUAAACAGCAAUAUGCAUGCCACCACUGCUUAGAAUGGUGAAUUAUUCGCAACCUGUGGAACCUACUCUCAGCUAGCAGGUACCAAACCAUUUGUGAUUUGAGUUUCUUAGAUAUUGACACAAUGAGGUGUUUAUGACAAGAUAUGCACAGCUAAUGUUGACAUAUCUAUGCAGUAAAUAUCAAAAAUCUAAUUAGAAACAAUUAUGUAAUAAUGACUUAACCAAGUUACCAAUUAAACUUUUGAAGCCCAUCUUGCAUGUGUAUGUGAGUGUGUUUAUGCCUCCUUGUUUUGACAUCAAGUAAUAGUUGUAAAUGAGUGAUAUCAUCAUAUAAACUAUUCUUUGAAACAUGUCCAGCCAUGGGGAAAUAUUACCUUGCUUAUGAAUGAGGAAGGGUUGACAACAGGAAAGGCAUCCAGCUGUAGAAAAUCCACCUCAAAUUUCCUCUGGCUGAUAUAAGAAUGAAAAAAUGACGGUUAAAACAAUGAUGAUGAUGAUACUCUAAAAUAUGUUUAGUAAGUCACAUGACUGAUAGUGUAGUUACUAGUUUCAACACUUAUUGCUUCUCCUUUCAAGAAGGUAGUAUAUAGCAUAGAACUGUGCUGUACACACUCUCUAAUGUAGAUCUGACAAAUUUGAACAAAAUAAAAGUUAUGAUAAGGAAAUAAUGAACAUACAAUAAUAUGAUUAAUCUGUGGAAACCAUACUUAAACAAAAUGCAAGAGUAUGAGGCAUAAAAUAAAAGAGCAAAAACAUAGAUGUAGAGAUUUUAAGAAUGUGAAGUCAGGAGGUAGAGAGAAACACACAGAGAGAUAGAUAGAUAGAGGAGGAGUGAGUAAGAAAAUGUAAGAUUGAUGGGAAAUAUGAAGAAUAAUAAUGCUGGAGAAUGUUGAUGAAAACUGCUUUAUCUCAGAGACUCUUCCAAACAGAAGAAAUGGAAAAGGGAAAGAAAGAGUUACAAAGUAUUUUGAAAAAGAGAUGGAUAAAGGAAGAGAGAAGGGGAGUAGAUGGGACAAGAAGAGAAAGUAGAAAAUGACUGUGGAGAUGACAGAUAAGGUAUUAGAAGAGGUAAAUGUGCCCUAGACUUUGAAAGAAAAACAAUAAAUAAAUACAAUAAGAAGCAUUGUAAAUUGAAGAGAAUCAAAUAUUAAAAACAAAAAUAGAUAAAAAC